GAUUGAACGCUGGCGGCAUGCCUUACACAUGCAAGUCGAACGGCAGCACGGGAGCAAUCCUGGUGGCGAGUGGCGAACGGGUGAGUAAUAUAUCGGAACGUGCUCAGUCGUGGGGGAUAACGUAGCGAAAGCUACGCUAAUACCGCAUACGAUCUAUGGAUGAAANCGGGGGAUCGCAAGACCUCGCGCGAUUGGAGCGGCCGAUAUCAGAUUAGGUAGUUGGUGAGGUAAAGGCUCACCAAGCCGACGAUCUGUAGCUGGUCUGAGAGGACGACCAGCCACACUGGGACUGAGACACGGCCCAGACUCCUACGGGAGGCAGCAGUGGGGAAUUUUGGACAAUGGGCGCAAGCCUGAUCCAGCAAUGCCGCGUGCAGGAUGAAGGCCUUCGGGUUGUAAACUGCUUUGUACGGAACGAAACGGUGAGCUCUAAUACAGUUUGCUAAUGACGGUACCGUAAGAAUAAGCACCGGCUAACUACGUG
rnacentral:rRNA from 1 species